CCAGAGGAGACCAGAGACCAGAGGAAUCCAGAGGAGACCAGAUGUGACCAGAGACCAGAGGAGACCAGAGACCAGAGGAGACCAGAGACCAGAGGAGACCGGAGACCAGAGGAGACCAGAGGAGACCAGAGACCAGAGGAAUCCAGAGACCAGAGGAGACCGGAGACCAGAGGAGACCGGGGACCAGAGGAGACCGGGGACCAGAGGAGACCAGAGGAGACCAGAGACCAGAGGAAUCCAGAGGAGACCAGAGACCAGAGGUGACCAGAGACCAGAGGAGACCAGAGGUUACCCAGCAGGUCUGAAGGAGUACACCAGAGACCCUGUGGCUUACUGACCUUUGCUGCUGAUGGCGGAGGAGUCUGAGAAGUGCCUCUUGAAUGUUGCAUGAUGGGAGUUUCCUGAGGGUCUGGAGGUCACCGUCUGCGGGCGGAAUGUCCCGGGAGCGUCUCUGAGGUGACGUGGUCCAACAUGGCUGCCGGGAUGGCUCUGAGAGAGAGCUGAUUGGUCGGCUGUGACCCCAGCGCCCUUCGUCUGGGCGUCCCCCCCCUGGCCGCUCGCAGCCCUCCCGCCGGCCACCGGGGCCGAGUUAGUGCGCCUGUACCCGCACGCCAGCGGCUGGCCCGCGCCCCGCGGGGGGGCGGGCCCGAUGGCCACUGGCGUGGUGGAGAGGCCCCGCCCACGGGCGGGCGUGCUGGGGUGACCCCGCCCGCAGGGAGGGGCCUGAGGGGCCGAGGAGGGCUGGCUGUUGGAGAACUUCUCUACGUCCUCACACACCUGGAGCAGCAGCUGGUCGUCUCCGCCCUCGUCCCACCAGCCGUCCGGGGCCCCGGGGCCCUGGACCGCCGCGCUCGACUGAGGCUUCACCGUGGUUACCGGCUUCACCGUGGUUACCGGCUUCACCGUGGUUACUGGUGUCACCAUUGUUAGCGCCAUCACCGUGGUAACGGGCUGCCUUUUGACAGGUUGAACUGCCUGCAGGUGCUCUGACCUGUGAUUGGUCAAGGCGGGGGGGGCCAAGCACUCUGACCCUUGAUUCGUCAAGGCGGGGGGCCAGGCGCUCUGACCCGUGAUUGGUCGAGGCGGGGGGGCAGGCGCUCUGACCUGUGAUUGAUUGAGGCGGGGGGUGCCAGACACCUUGGGUUGGGCUCCAGUCUGAAGGUGCUGCGCUGGGGGGUCCUGGGUCCGGGACAGCCGCCCCUGGGUCCGGGAGUCCUCCCCUGGGGUGGGCAGGAGGAGUCGACCCCCGGGGGAGCCCCUGAGGUCGUGGCAACCACCAGCGAGUCGUUCAUCAGGUCAUCGUCCUCCCAGUCGUCCUCAAAGUCAUCCUCAAAAUCCUGGACCACCGGCCCCGGGCCCCGGACCGCCACCCCCGGGGGCCGGUCUGAGGGCCUGAGGGGUCCCUGGCUCAGGGGCCCGCUGAGGGCCCCUUGGCUGAGGGCUCCCUGGCUGAGGGGCCCACUGACCCCCUUUCUGAGGGGCCCGCUGAACCCCUGACUGAGGGGCCCCUCGCUGAGGGUCCCCUGGCUCAGGGCCCCACUGACCUUCUGGGUGGAGCUGUCGAACAGCGCCCGGAGCUCCGCCUCCACCCGCUGCGACUCAGAGGGGGGGGGAAGCGGAGGGGGGGUUGCGGCCAGGUUGCUGGUGGAACGGGGGUCAUCAGCCAGGUCGCCGUGGGGACGAGGGGCGGCGGCCAGGUCGCCGUGGGGACGCCGGGCAGCGGCCAGGUAACCGUGGGGACGGGGGUCAUCAGCCAGGUCGCCGUGGGGACGUAGGGCAGCGGCCAGAUCGCCGUGGGGACGUGGGGCAGCGGCCAGGUCGUCGUGGAGACGAGGGGCGGCGGCCAGGUCGUCGGAGCGCUCCAUGUUCCGGUCGAAGGCUCGGGCCAGCUCCACCAGGCCGUCCACACUGCUCUGCCUGGGGAGAGAGACACAUCAGGACCCCCAUUAGAUACUAGUUAUAGCUCGAUUAGGAAUCAGACCUGCCCAGGAGGAGGGUGGGGUCCUGCCCCAGGAGGACUAGAGGUAGACUCUGACCUGACUGAGCGCCUGCGGGCGCGGUGCGUCCGGGGCUCGGGGGUGCAGGACACCCCGCAGUCGCCCAUCCACUGCAAGAGGGGCGACGGCGCCGGCCGGACGUCCUGCGGGCAUCGGACACACGGCCGUUAGACCAGCCACCAUGACACCUUCACUGCCCAGAGGCGGCCUGACGCUAGGCGGUGUAAUGCUAGGCGCAGUGUGAUGCUAGGUGGUGUGUGAUGCUAGACGCGGUAUGAUGCUAGGCGGUGUGUGAUGCUAGGCGGUGUGUGAUGCUAGGCGGUGUGUGCUGCUAGGCGCAGUGUGAUGCUAGGCGGUGUGUGAGGCGAACCCGGUGGACGGUAGCUGUACCGACCUUGGGGGGCGAUGCGGUUCACUAUGUCGGAUAUCUUCACCAUCCUGGUGGUCCUGGAACCCCCGCCUGGAAACACAUGAUAGCAGCUGAUCGUACAGGCUUCAUUACAGCACCAGCAUUC
ensembl:lncRNA